AUCAAACUGUCACCUGACCAAUCGUUCCCAUGGUUCUUUUAGACUUCUCGUAUGAUAAAUUGAAAGGCACUAUUAUCUGCCUGUUGUGAAGAGGAACUGCUUAGGCUUUGAUAAGAUAUCACUAGUCCCAGGUGAGAGGAGCCUGACAGCACAUCAAGACAAGAAAACACAUGGAAACAGUGAACACAGGAGCAAAAGGAAGAAGCACCAGUGCAGAGGAGGAAGGGACUCUUCACAUGGCAUUGAGAAAAUAGAAUUGCAUGUAGAGACUGGGGAGAAGAAACUGCACUCUGUGUGAGAAUCUGAUAACUGGGCUGUAGAGGGAAAGCUGGAUUUGAUUGGGCAACAGCAGGGAAAAAGGGCAGGGCACAGUCAUACUGGGCUCAGCACAUGGACAGAAGGCUUCAGGACAGUACAGGGCAAAGUUGUGGAGGGUUUCAAAGACAGGCACAACAGCUGAAUGAUCUCAAAAGUGGAUUUGCACAGCCAGAUCCCUCUGGGUUUAUAAAACCUUCUGGACUUCUGCAAGACCCUGUGUACAGAGAGGAUGUGAAAACAGAGUGCAGUAAAGUGUCAGCCUUAUCAUGGAGGUAGGCCAAAAAUCUUACAAGAGAGAUGGUAGCACCACUGAAAAUACAUGAGAAUAAGAACUGCCAUCCUAAGUAACCUAAACCCUCAAUGUUACUACUUUUGAAAGGCUCCCUCCUUUUGGACCUUGGCCCUGCCCAUGUGUACAAGUAAGUGAAUGGAAGCAAAUGUAAUAGGACUACUCAUGCAUAAAGCUGGUCACAUGCAUUAACGCUGGCAGGAACAAGGACCUUCUUUUCAUACUUACACUAGAGGAUAGUAAAAGAAAUGCUGCUCAAAGAAAUCCAUCAACUAAUUCAAACUCUAAGCUAGCUACUUCAGAACCUCGUACAAUGGCCACACUCAAUGGGUCCAUUGAAGUCCUGGAGACGAAGUAAAAACAGGUUUCUUUUUGAAGAACAUUACGGGAUCAAUAUAGUGCCGUGGAUAUUAGGAAAAGUCACUUUAAUAAAAAGGAAAUUGCACAUAAUGUAACAAAACAAUUGCUAUUUGGAAGGCCCUGAAGAAAUGGAACAAUGUAAUAUGAUAUUUCUUAACUUCAUUUCCCAUCCAUUGCAGAAAUCAUAACAAUAAAGUUUUCUACAUAAGCAACUUCAUGAGCUGAAAGAAGAGAAUGUAUAAUUCCUUUCCUUGGACUAAGCCAAAAGAAAUGAAGAAAAAAAUUGAUUCUUCUCUGUUAACCUCCUGUGUAAAAUUUUUCUCCUUAUCAUCUCAUCUAGUCAUAUCUUUCUGCAGUUUGAAUUACCCUCUUUUCCUCAAUCUGAGUUCAAAAUGAUGUUUUGACAAAAUGACCUCACGGAGUUCACAACUGCGGACAAAUUUAGAAUAGUCACAAAUACUUUGUUCUGUGUCCAGCUCAUGGCAACACUCCCAAAUAUUCUUUCAAGGAACUUAAAUAUACCCAUAUAUAAGCCUACAGAGAUAAAAACAUAAAUAUUGUAUAAUUAUAUACAUUUUUGGAGCUACAUUUUCAAAGCCUGUAAUUCUAAGAGUCAACUCAGUUUUGUUUCUUAUGUCAGUGGUUAUGACAUACACAUGACUGCUGCAGGAAACCAGUAUUUCUUUUAUUUUACCAUCAAAGAUGCAUGAAUAUUUUCCAAAGGACAAUUUCAUUCUCAUUAAUUUAGACUUUGAAAAUUCCUGUUACAAUGGGGCAUGUAAGUUAUCCGUUCAUGUGAUUGCUCUAUGCUCAGCACAGUAGUAUUUAAUCAAUUCCUAGAUACAACUAGAGCUAUAUCAGGAUACUCUUUGGAUAGCAUAAACCACAUUUUUCAUCUUUGUGCAUGGUUACAGAUAUGCUGAUUAGGUAAAAUAUAUAUUCUUGUGCAAAAAGACAUGUAUUAGAAAGUGAAAAGACAUGAACACAGACUUGGAGAAGCCAGUAACAGCAGAUUUUGCCAGCAAUCCAAUGUCAUUCUCAAACUCUAAACAUUAUAUAACAACACUGUCUUCCUCUACCAAGUCUUUACUGGGCCAAAAAAAAAAAAUAAAAAAAAAUCACAAGUCAUGAUUUCAGAGUUUCACCCAUGCAUGUGAAAGAAAAUAAUUGUUGGUCAGAUAUAUCUAAUGCAUCACUCUGUCCAUGUGACAGCUCAGCUAUGUUACGUGCUUGGUCUGUUAGAAAAAUAAAGCUCAGCAUUUUCCUCAGAACAACUUUUUGUUAUAAC